rnacentral:tRNA from 1 species
GCAGGGGUCGCCAAGCCUGGCCAAAGGCGCCGGGCCUAGGACCCGGUCCCGUAGGGGUUCGGGGGUUCAAAUCCCCUCCCCUGCACCA